UAUAGGAGGUCCAGCCUGCCCAGUGACCGCAAGUUUAACGGCCGCGGUAUUUUGACCGUGCAAAGGUAGCGCAAUCACUUGUCUUUUAAAUAAAGACCUGUAUGAAUGGCUAAACGAGGGCUUAACUGUCUCCCCUUUCAAGUCAGUAAAAUUGAUUUAUCCGUGCAGAAGCGGGUAUAGUAAUACAAGACGAGAAGACCCUUUGGAGCUUAAGGCAUAAACUCAAACACGUCAAGAAACUCAAUAAAAAGUAAAUUUAAACCUUGUGUAAAAUGAGCCCACUGCCUUCGGUUGGGGCGACCACGGAGGAAAAGAAAGCCUCCAAGUGGAGUGGGGUUACACCCUAAAACCAAGAGAGACAUCUCUAAGCCACAAAACAUUUGACCACAAAUGAUCCGGCUAACCAUGACCGAUCAACGAACCAAGUUACCCUAGGGAUAACAGCGCAAUCCUCUCUUAAAGUCCAUAUUGACGAGAGGGUUUACGACCUCGAUGUUGGAUCAGGACAUCCUAACGGUGCAGCCGCUGUUAAGGGUUCGUUUGUUCAACGAUUAAAGUCCUACGUGA
rnacentral:rRNA from 1 species